rnacentral:rRNA from 1 species
AAAUUGAAGAGUUUGAUCAUGGCUCAGAUUGAACGCUGGCGGCAGGCCUAACACAUGCAAGUCGAACGGUAGCACAGAGAGCUUGCUCUCGGGUGACGAGUGGCGGACGGGUGAGUAAUGUCUGGGAAACUGCCUGAUGGAGGGGGAUAACUACUGGAAACGGUGGCUAAUACCGCAUAACGUCGAAAGACCAAAGAGGGGGACCUUCGGGCCUCUUGCCAUCAGAUGUGCCCAGAUGGGAUUAGCUUGUUGGUGAGGUAACGGCUCACCAAGGCGACGAUCCCUAGCUGGUCUGAGAGGAUGACCAGCCACACUGGAACUGAGACACGGUCCAGACUCCUACGGGAGGCAGCAGUGGGGAAUAUUGCACAAUGGGCGCAAGCCUGAUGCAGCCAUGCCGCGUGUAUGAAGAAGGCCUUCGGGUUGUAAAGUACUUUCAGCGGGGAGGAAGGUGUUGUGGUUAAUAACCGCAGCAAUUGACGUUACCCGCAGAAGAAGCACCGGCUAACUCCGUG